UCAAAGUUAAUACAUUUCACCUCUUCAAGAAUUCCUUUGAAAUCCAAGGCUGUUCAAUGAAAAAAAUGGUCUCAGAUGAAGAAGACAGCAUGAUCUUGUGGUUCCUCCUACCUAAUGACUGUGCAUGGCGGGGGUACUCCAGGCAUUCCACUGUUGCCUCCUGUGUCACUCAUCUAAAAGGUACCUUAGUUGGUUUUGAACUGCUAUAA
rnacentral:lncRNA from 1 species